rnacentral:rRNA from 1 species
GAUGAACGCUGGCGGCGUGCCUAAUACAUGCAAGUCGAGCGAACAGACGAGGAGCUUGCUCCUCUGACGUUAGCGGCGGACGGGUGAGUAACACGUGGAUAACCUACCUAUAAGACUGGGAUAACUUCGGGAAACCGGAGCUAAUACCGGAUAAUAUAUUGAACCGCAUGGUUCAAUAGUGAAAGACGGUUUUGCUGUCACUUAUAGAUGGAUCCGCGCCGCAUUAGCUAGUUGGUAAGGUAACGGCUUACCAAGGCAACGAUGCGUAGCCGACCUGAGAGGGUGAUCGGCCACCCUGGCACUGAGACUCGGUCCACACUCCGACGGUGGGCCGCGGUACGGAAUCUUCCGCGAUGGGCGAAUGCCUGACGGAGCAACGCCGCGUGAGUGAUGAAGCUCUUCGGAUCGUUAAACUCUGUUAUUAGGGAAGAACAAAUGUGUAAGUAACUAUGCACGUCUUGACGGUACCUAAUCAGAAAGCCCCGGCUAACUACGUG